rnacentral:rRNA from 1 species
AACGAACGCUGGCGGCGCGUCUUAAACAUGCAAGUCGAACGAUCUGUAGCAAUACAGGGAGUGGCGGACGGGUGAGGAACACGUAGGAAUCUACCUUGAAGAGCGGGACAACUUUGGGAAACCGGGGCUAAUACCGCAUAGUACAGAGAUGUUAAAGGGCUAGCAAUAGUCGCUUCGAGAUGAGCCUGCGGUCUAUCAGCUUGUUGGUGAGGUAAUGGCUCACCAAGGCUACGACGGAUAGCCGGUCUGAGAGGAUGAUCGGCCACACUGGCACUGAGACACGGGCCAGACUCCUACGGGAGGCAGCAGUUAAGAAUCUUGCGCAAUGGGGGAAACCCUGACGCAGCGACGCCGCGUGAAGGAUGAAGGCUUUCGGGUUGUAAACUUCGGUAGACUGGGAAGAAGAAAUACGUUCGUUGAGGGCGUAUAGUGACGGUACCAGUCUGAAGCCCCGGCUAAUUACGUGCCAGCAGCCGCGGUAAGUCGUGUGACA